GCCACAGCUGCCUGCCACUCCCGGAAUAGAACUCCUGCACACCCAGGAAGUCUGGCAGUGUGCCAUCCUCCUUGAGAAGCUUGUUUACUGGAAGAUAUCAAAUUGCAGCCAUUUUUAGACCAGCUUGGAAGACUUCCCCAGCUCUUCCUCAUCAGCUUUCUAAAUAAGAAAUUAAAUGGAAAAGCCCUCGCAAGAUGGGAAACAACAGAAACGCAAACAAAUGAGCUGCAAAGGAGUACUGACACCAACAGGAGUCCUCCAUCCCUUCCUCCGGCAGCGUCACGGGAGGCUCGGACUGCAGUGCGGAUGUUUGUAUGGGGAGACCAUUCCUAACGUAUAAAAUUCGCAGCAAUUAUCACCACCAAGUUAAAGGACCUACUGCACAGCAAGUCCUGUUUAUGACUCAGCGUUAUCCUCCUCUCUCUCUGUGGCCUCUAUCUGAAUGACUUUGCCCUAAAGUCACGGUAAAUACACCCUGUCUACAAGGACACAUAGACAACAGACUUAGAAAUCCGGAGAUUUAUGGGUGCCCGAUCUUAUUGCGGUACCUCGUGAAUAUCAGAUUUGAUCUGAGAGAUCACGCGUGAGCUGCAGACGAGCCCUGACUUCGUGACUGGCGUGCCACUGGCAAGCCUCGCCUGAUUAGCAUCUUUGUGCUCAGAUACGAGUGACGGCUCGAGGACGACAUUUCUGAAUUGUUCACUUUGCCGGGAUUGUAUCUGAAAACAGCAGCAAUUGUUCGUCCUGUUCCCAGGCUCCA